rnacentral:miRNA from 1 species
AUCUGAUGGAUCCGAGGGAUCUGAUGGAUCUAUCCAUCGGAUCCAUCAGAUCCCUCGGAUCCAUCAGUUCCCUCGGAUCCAUCGGAUCCAUCAGAUCCCUCGGAUCCAUCGGA